CCUACGGGCGGCAGCAGUGAGGAAUAUUGGUCAAUGGGCUUACGCCUGAACCAGCCAAGUCGCGUGAGGGAAGACUGCCCUAUGGGUUGUAAACCUCUUUUGUCAGGGAGCAAUUGGCGCUACGUGUAGCGUUUUCCAGAGUACCUGAAGAAAAAGCACCGCGUAACUCCGUCCCAGCAGCCGCGGUAAUACGGAGGAUGCGAGGGUUAUCCGGUUUUAUUGGGUUUAAAGGGUGCGUAGGCGGAAUGCCAAGUCAGCGGUAAAAUCGCGGGGCUCAACCUCGCUCCGCCGUUGAAACUGGCGUUCUUGAGUGGGCGAGAAGUAUGCGGAAUGCGUGGUGUAGCGGUGAAACGCAUAGAUAUCACGCAGAACUCCGAUUGCGAAGGCAGCAUACCGGCGCCCAACUGACGCUGAAGCACGAAAGCGUGGGUAUCGAACAGGAUUAGAUACCCCGGUAGUC
rnacentral:rRNA from 1 species